UACGUAGGGGGCAAGCGUUGUCCGGAUUUAUUGGGCGUAAAGCGCUCGCAGGUGGUUUGUCGCGUCGUGCGUGAAAGACCCCGGCUCAACUGGGGAGGGUCGUGCGAUACGAGCGAACUGGAGGCCAGUAGGGGGAUGCGGAAUUCCGGGUGUAGUGGUGGAAUGCGUAGAGAUCCGGAGGAACACCAGCGGCGAAGGCGGCAUCCUGGACUGGUCCUGACACUCAGGAGCGAAAGCGUGGGGAGCGAUCCGG
rnacentral:rRNA from 1 species